UACAGAGGUCUCAAGCGUUGUUCGGAUUCAUUGGGCGUAAAGGGUGCGUAGGUGGCGCGGUAAGUCGGGUGUGAAAUUUCGGAGCUUAACUCCGAAACUGCAUUCGAUACUGCCGUGCUUGAGGACUGGAGAGGAGACUGGAAUUUACGGUGUAGCAGUGAAAUGCGUAGAGAUCGUAAGGAAGACCAGUGGCGAAGGCGGGUCUCUGGACAGUUCCUGACACUGGAGGCACGAAGGCCAGGGGAGCAAACGGG
rnacentral:rRNA from 1 species